UACGUAGGGGGCAAGCGUUGUCCGGAAUCACUGGGCGUAAAGCGCGCGCAGGCGGUCAUCUACGUCUGGGGUGAAAGCCCGGAGCUCAACUCCGGGAUUGCCUUGGAUACGGGAUGACUUGAGGAUCGGAGAGGCAAGGGAAUUCCACGUGUAGCGGUGAAAUGCGUAGAGAUGUGGAGGAACACCUGUGGCGAAGGCGCCUUGCUGGCCGAUUUCUGACGCUGGAGGCGCGAAAGCGUGGGGAGCAACAGG
rnacentral:rRNA from 1 species